UACGUAGGCAGCAAGCGUUGUUCGGAAUUACUGGGCGUAAAGAGUGUGUAGGCGGUGCUCUAAGUUCGGUGUGAAAUCUCCCGCUUAACUGGGAGGGUGCGCCGGAAACUGGAGUGCUCGAGCGUGGGAGAGGAAAGCAGAAUUCCUGGUGUAGCGGUGAAAUGCGUAGAUAUCAGGAGGAAUACCGGUGGCGAAAGCGACUCUCUGGACGGUAACUGACGCUGAGGCACGAAAGCGUGGGGGAGCAAA
rnacentral:rRNA from 1 species